CUGGGCAGCAUCAGCAGCAUGCGUGUCCAUCACGCGUGUCCGUCUUAUUUUGCCAUGUGGAGCGGCGCACCACACGCGCACACACACAACUACUACUUGCAUCUCAACUCCUCCCAAGUCUUCACAUCGCAUCGCCCAACUCGACUCCCUCUCUCUUUCUCUCUCUCUCUCUCUGACAGGUGGGCCACCGUCUCCUCCGACUUCUCGCCGUCGCUUGCUCGCCGCCGGUGGUGGUGGUGGUGGGGCGACGGGGGG
rnacentral:lncRNA from 1 species